AUUGAACGCUGGCGGCAUGCCUUACACAUGCAAGUCGAACGGCAGCACGGGAGCAAUCCUGGUGGCGAGUGGCGAACGGGUGAGUAAUAUAUCGGAACGUGCCCAGUCGUGGGGAUAACGUAGCGAAAGCUACGCUAAUACCGCAUACGAUCUAUGGAUGAAAGCGGGGGAGUCGCAAGACCUCGCGCGAUUGGAGCGGCCGAUAUCAGAUUAGGUAGUUGGUGAGGUAAAGGCUCACCAAGCCGACGAUCUGUAGCUGGUCUGAGAGGACGACCAGCCACACUGGGACUGAGACACGGCCCAGACUCCUACGGGAGGCAGCAGUGGGGAAUUUUGGACAAUGGGCGCAAGCCUGAUCCAGCAAUGCCGCGUGCAGGAUGAAGGCCUUCGGUUGUAACUGCUUUGUUACGGAACGAAACGGUAGAGCUCUAAUACAG
rnacentral:rRNA from 1 species